GGGCUGGUAGUUCAGGGGUAGAAUAGGAUUUAGAAUCCAUAGUCCACGAGAGGUCGAGGGUUCAAAUCCCUCCCAGUCCA
rnacentral:tRNA from 1 species